AGUGAACGCUGGCGGUAGGCCUAACACAUGCAAGUCGAACGGCAGCACAGUAAGAGCUUGCUCUUACGGGUGGCGAGUGGCGGACGGGUGAGGAAUACAUCGGAAUCUACUUUUUCGUGGGGGAUAACGUAGGGAAACUUACGCUAAUACCGCAUACGACCUACGGGUGAAAGCAGGGGAUCUUCGGACCUUGCGCGAUUGAAUGAGCCGAUGUCGGAUUAGCUAGUUGGCGGGGUAAAGGCCCACCAAGGCGACGAUCCGUAGCUGGCCUGAGAGGAUGAUCAGCCACACUGGAACUGAGACACGGUCCAGACUCCUACGGGAGGCAGCAGUGGGGAAUAUUGGACAAUGGGCGCAAGCCUGAUCCAGCCAUACCGCGUGGGUGAAGAAGGCCUUCGGGUUGUAAAGCCCUCUUGUUGGGAAAGAAAAGCAGCAGGUUAAUACCCCGCUGUUCUGACGGUACCCAAAGAAUAAGCACCGGCUAACUUCGUG
rnacentral:rRNA from 1 species